UACGUAGGGACCGAGCGUUGUCCGGAAUCAUUGGGCGUAAAGAGCGUGUAGGCGGCCACUUAAGUCCUGCGUGAAAUCUUGCGGCUCAACCGCAAGCGGUCGUGGGAAACUGGGUGGCUAGAGUGCGGGAGAGGAGAGUGGAAUUCCUGGUGUAGCGGUGGAAUGCGCAGAUAUCAGGAAGAACACCCGUGGCGAAGGCGGCUAUCUGGACCGUAACUGACGCUGAGGCGCGAAAGCGUGGGGAGCAAACAGG
rnacentral:rRNA from 1 species